UACGUAGGGGCAAGCGUUGGUCCGGAUUUAUUGGGCGUAAAGAGCUCGUAGGCGGCUCGGUAAGUCGGAUGUGAAACCUCCAGGCUCAACCUGGAGACGCCAUCUGAUACUGCCGUGGCUUGAGUCCGGUAGAGGAGCAGGGAAUUCCUGGUGUAGCGGUGAAAUGCGCAGAUAUCAGGAGGAACACCAGCGGCGAAGGCGCUGCUCUGGGCCGGUACUGACGCUGAGGAGCGAAAGCGUGGGGAGCGAACAGG
rnacentral:rRNA from 1 species